CUCCGCCCCGGCCCAGCCGCUCUCCGCCCUCCCCGAGCAGCCGCUCCCCGGCAGCGCGCCCACCCCACGCUUGGGUCCGGGAGAAGCUGGCGAGUUGUAACAUGAGGUGGCGUGGGGUGACGAAGGACCACGAUGCCCCUUUCUCGCUGGGGACCCUCGCCGCGCUCUGUGCUUUCCGGGGGUGGCGUGGGCGCUCAGGAGGCUGGCGCUGCCCGCGGCAUCACUCCCUGAAGCAUUGGCGCGGGCAGCCCGCGUGGCUCCGGAGACGGGGCAGGAAAUAGGAAAAAGGGGAUGAAAGGUCCCAGGAUGGGGGAGAAAGCCAGGAAGUAUCUGGCUUCACUGCUGGGAACUUCUGGGAGCUGCCUCCCCCGAAGCCAAGCCAGGCGUGGGUGAAACGCACGAAGCCUGGGGGCUAUGGAUGUUAGGGACGUUGCGAGUCUCGGUAGAUGCCUGGGGAUGGGGGAUAUGCAAGGGAAAAAGGGAUUUCUAGGAGGAGGAGAAGUGGCUUCCUGGCACUGUUGCAUCUCAAGGUGAACAUUUCUGCCACCACUGAACCGCACUGGGGGGCUAGUGAAGAGUGAUUGGAACACAUGGUGCUGUCCUGGUGGAGCUGGGGUAUGGGACAACACCUCAGAGAGGUGGGGACCACUGGCCCAGGACCCUCGGAAUGAGAUUCGGGAAGGUGACAAGGUGCUGCAAGGCUGGACUGCUAUCACCGCAGCCUAUGCCUCCCUCUGGUGGGGAAGAAUUGCUGUGCCAGUGGGAUAAAGUCUAUGGCUGCAAUUAGACAUCUCACACCCUUCCUGGGUGCCCACUGCUCUGACAGUGGCUGUGGGCAAUGAGCCACCUGCGAUGCCACCCACAGUGGAUGCCCAAGUGAGUGGACAAAGUCUUGCCCUUGCCAAGUUUUCCAUGGUCAAGGAUGAAGAUGGAGGCUGGCCAAGCUGUGGAGAUGAG